UACAGAGGUCCCAAGCGUUGUUCGGAUUCACUGGGCGUAAAGGGUGCGUAGGUGGUGAGGUAAGUCGGAUGUGAAAUCUCCGAGCUCAACUCGGAAAUGGCAUUGGAAACUACCUUGCUAGAGGGUUGGAGGGGGGACGUGGAAUACUUGGUGUAGCAGUGAAAUGCGUAGAUAUCAAGUGGAACACCAGUGGCGAAGGCGAGUCCCUGGACAACUCCUGACACUGAGGCACGAAAGCUAGGGGAGCAAACAGG
rnacentral:rRNA from 1 species